rnacentral:rRNA from 1 species
UACGUAGGGCGCAAGCGUUAUCCGGAAUUAUUGGGCGUAAAGAGCUCGUAGGCGGUUUGUUGCGUCUAUCGUGAAAACCUGCAGCUUAACUGUGGGCUUGCGGUGGAUACGGGCAGACUUGAGUUCGGUAGGGGAGACUGGAAUUCCUGGUGUAGCGGUGAAAUGCGCAGAUAUCAGGAGGAACACCGGUGGCGAAGGCGGGUCUCUGGGCCGAUACUGACGCUGAGGCGCGAAAGCGUGGGGAGCAAACAGG